UACGUAGGGGGCGAGCGUUGUCCGGAUUUAUUGGGCGUAAAGCGCGUGUAGGCGGCCAGAAAAGUCCGCUGUGAAAACUCGAGGCUCAACUUCGGGCUGUCGGUGGAAACUUUCUGGCUAGAGUCCGGAAGAGGAGAAUGGAAUUCCUGGUGUAGCGGUGAAAUGCGCAGAUAUCUGGAGGAACACCGGUGGCGAAGGCGGCGUUCUGGACUGCUACUGACACUGAGGAACGAAAGCCAGGGGAGCAAACGGG
rnacentral:rRNA from 1 species